CUUCUCUCUGUAUAAUUAAGAAACCAUCGCCUAAUUACGGGGCUUGGGACCAGUACAGAUCGAUGCCCCAUCCGAAUCUAUCUUCUACGACUGUUAAUCUCUUACGCAAUCGCUGAGAUGAUCGGCUGAUCGUGUCAUAAUUUCAGUGCUCAAGGUCUAAAUCGUGUGAAUCGCCAGAUUACCAAUUUGAGCGAGAUCUACCGUUCUUAGUUGAGAAAAACGGCGAGUAAGCCGUGUAUCGCUCCUAUUUUGUCCUAACCGCGAUAGCCACAAUGACGAUCUCAAAAUUUAGAAGAACGGCGAACCAUCGGUUGUUUAUACGCAAAGAACGAAACAAAAUUCAGUUCAUCCAAGCAAGAUAAGUGACUACCUUCUCUUCUCCUAAUAUUUUAUAGAUGUUUACAAUUACACGUUCGAGAAUUUUAGCUAAAAUUUGAGUACAUAGUCUAUAGACAUCACAAAUACUGUAAAUACCUAAAUUGAGUUUAAUUUAGGGUUUAUUAAUAUACAUACAACAACAUUAAUGAGUUCGGUAUGUUAUAUCAUUCGUGUAGUAAUAUGUUGAAUUCUAGCUUGAUUUUCGUGUUAAAGAAAGUAUGAAAAUCACCUAUAUUUACAGUAAAACAAUGUAUUACUCCUAAUUUUUUUUGGCUGUAAUUUUGCAGGUAAUAGCACUUAGAUUCACCAAGUUAUCAGAAUAAAAUCCAGGUCAUUAUUGAUAAAACUAUACUAAAUAACAGGAACAUAAAAAUCUCCACUCUGCCAAAAGAUUGCAAGGUGCCAAAAAGGUUUUAAGUUAUAAAAGAAUUAGCAGAUUUACCAUUCACAGUCUUGGCUCGACAAAGCUGGAUCAAAACAAUCACGGGCUCUGGUUAUGUUGAAUUAAAAUAUGGUAGCAUGGCAUCAACGUGAUCAUCCUAGAUGGUGCACUUCAGCUGUCUCUCCCUGGUGUACAGAUAAGUAUUAGUUCAUAUCUUAGUUUUUGGUACUUAUAAUAACAAUAAUAACCAAGUACUUACUCACUGUCCUGAAUUAAAAAAUCCAUCAGCCUUGAUGGUUUCCCAGCAAUUAACUUUUCAACUGGAGAAUGUAUCUCCACAACUCUGCCCAUGAUGUCUUUACAGAUAAUAGGUAGAAAGGAAAAUCAUUAUUUUGAGACAUGUUUUUUUAAAUAAAUAAAAUGAAUUGACAGUAUAACAUGAAAAAUAUAUAUACCAAAUAAUUCCUUAUCAUUUAGAGUAGUUGAAUCCAUCAGUGAUUGAAAAGACUUGAGUCGAAACAUGAAAUUAGGAAAUUUCCUGGUCUUACAUUCUUUGACAGUGGUAGAAUAAUUGAACUUUAUUAGAUAUUUGUGAGUAGAUGUCUUGUAUGUAUAGUAGUUUGUCACUACUAAAAAGUUCUUGAUAGAAUAAACUCUCCCCUCAACAAAAACACUACGAUACUUGACAACAUCUUCUCUGGAAAUAGUACCAUGUAUGUAUGUACCCUAUAUAAUAACUCAUAAUAUAUAAUUAGUAAAAAAAAGCUUUUAAAAAUCCAGUAACUACAUUCAUAAAACAUACUUACAACAUUAAACUUACCUCCUCAUCGUGGAAGAGACAUUCUUUGCUCUUACUAAUCGCUUGUCCACGUAAUGCAUGUACUUCAUAACUUCGCACCAACCGCACUCGUAUUGCUCUACGGGUGUGAAUAGGGCUAACCUGAGAAGCAAGAACAUAUUGAGAGGGCAUUUCGAAAUUAUUUUUGCAGAGUUCCUCUUUCAGAAUAUGUAGUUUGUGAUGAAUCCCUCUCAUAUUAAUGUACUAUUUAUACUCUAAUUUUCAUUCAGAUUCAAAAUAGAAUCAUUACUAUUCGUAAUUAAUAUCCUUGGGAUAUUGAACAGUUUUGUGGGCUUAAAUUAAUUCAGGGACUAUGUGUAUUCUGCAUUCA